CUGGAGCUGAUGGAGGCCUGCCAAGCUGCCUGCUCUUGUUUUGCUGCUGAAACCCUGAACUUCAGUGCUCCUGAGAACAGCACUUGGGCCUAAAUCCCACUGGAAUCAGCAUUUCUUAGAGGGAUUGGCAUUUGCUGAGGAACGGCCUACACUGCUCAUCCUCUUGGCAGUUAACCCAGGCCAUGUGUUAGAAAGGAUGAAGCUAAGUGAGUCUGUGGAGUUUCCUGGGAGGAACAAAGCCCUGUGACAGCAAGCAGCGUUCCCAGGCUGCUCUCAGGGGGAAAAUCCCAGCAAGCUGAUGACACCUGGAUAAAGGGGUGAAUACAAAUGUGAGCUACGUUGGCAUACAAUAGCAAGGUCUGGGACAUGAAGGAUGGCUGUGGACUGGGCUAAGCACUUGGGAGAGACAGAGGUGGUUGACUUGUUGGAAUCCUACAGCAGGUUUUGGAAAUCUGGAUGAAAGCUCCCUGGUCUGAGCAAGUGCUAGUGAGCUUAGCGCAGAGGACAGAGAACUACUGACAGCUUAUCAUCACAGUUUUGAUGGAAAGGUGGAUCUGGACCUCAUUAUGCACUCACUUCAUAACAUCUGUCAUAGUUGUGAGACCGGAGCGAUUUUAAUAUUUCUUCCUGGAUAUGAUGAGAUAGCUUGAGGGACCGCAUUCUUUUUGAUGACAGGAGAUUUGCUGGCCAUGCACACAGAUUCUUUCUACAAAUACAGCAGAAACCAGCAUGACAGUCAAUGAUGUGGUAUUUGUUAUUGACUCAGGCAAGGUGAAAGAGAAGUCUUUUGAUGCACUGAGUUGUGUUACAAUGCUGAAAAUGGUGUGGAUUUCAAAAGCCAGUGCUAUCCAGAGAAAAGGCAGCUAUUAACAAGUCAUCUACAUUCUGAAUCAGGACAGCCUCUUCUCUCAAUUGAAAACCUGUGGGAACAUGAUCCUUGAAAGAGAAGCAAUGUAUUGGUCAAUGGGUGGGCAGUUAAGGUUUGAAAGGGGAACAAUGCAUAAGGGAGCUGUUGUUGGCAUGGGGUCGGUAUCGGGAGCCACCGCGGCUUCAUCUCACGCGCCGGCCAUGUGUGAGCUGAUGCUGUAACUGGGAAAAUUCCACUCCUGUGCAGGAGAUAUAAGGCCUGGUUCUGGGCUGGAGGGGUGAGAAGGACGAGAUGCACACCCUUUUGAUCCAGGGGAAGUCCUGGAAGUGCACUGCCUACCUGCCCCCCCCCCACCAAGCACCACGCUCCAUCUCCCUCU